AUGAAGCCUUUCGGGGUGGAUUAGUGGCGAACGGGUGAGUAACACGUGGGCAAUCUGCCCUUCACUCUGGGACAAGCCCUGGAAACGGGGUCUAAUACCGGAUAAUACUCUGUUCCGCAUGGGACGGGGUUGAAAGCUCCGGCGGUGAAGGAUGAGCCCGCGGCCUAUCAGCUUGUUGGUGGGGUAAUGGCCUACCAAGGCGACGACGGGUAGCCGGCCUGAGAGGGCGACCGGCCACACUGGGACUGAGACACGGCCCAGACUCCUACGGGAGGCAGCAGUGGGGAAUAUUGCACAAUGGGCGAAAGCCUGAUGCAGCGACGCCGCGUGAGGGAUGACGGCCUUCGGGUUGUAAACCUCUUUCAGCAGGGAAGAAGCGAGAGUGACGGUACCUGCAGAAGAAGCGCCGGCUAACUACGUGCCAGCAGCCGCGGUAAUACGUAGGGCGCAAGCGUUGUCCGGAAUUAUUGGGCGUAAAGAGCUCGUAGGCGGCUUGUCACGUCGGAUGUGAAAGCCCGGGGCUUAACCCCGGGUCUGCAUUCGAUACGGGCUAGCUAGAGUGUGGUAGGGGAGAUCGGAAUUCCUGGUGUAGCGGUGAAAUGCGCAGAUAUCAGGAGGAACACCGGUGGCGAAGGCGGAUCUCUGGGCCAUUACUGACGCUGAGGAGCGAAAGCGUGGGGAGCGAACAGGAUUAGAUACCCUGGUAGUCCACGCCGUAAACGUUGGGAACUAGGUGUUGGCGACAUUCCACGUCGUCGGUGCCGCAGCUAACGCAUUAAGUUCCCCGCCUGGGGAGUACGGCCGCAAUGCUAAAACUCAAAGGAAUUGACGGGGGGCCCGCACAAGCAGCGGA
rnacentral:rRNA from 1 species